rnacentral:lncRNA from 1 species
CACACAAAGCUCACAUCCAAGUUCCCAGCAUUCCCCUGGGGUGGACCGCGAUAUCCAUGCAUCCUUCCAUGCUGCUGCAGACUGAAUGGGACCUUCGGGGGACCCUAGGCUUCCCAAGAUAGGGAUGAUCCUGCCUAGCGCAUUACCAGCUGGCCGAGUAAACAUCGAGAGACUAUAAGGAUAUUUUAUUUUAAUUGCCUGAGCCUCAGGAUUAUGGAAUCAAGAUGGAAGGGGAGGA